rnacentral:rRNA from 1 species
UACGGGGGGAGCAAGCGUUGUUCGGAUUUACUGGGCGUAAAGGGUGCGUAGGCGGUUCGUUAAGUCUGUCGUGAAAUCCCCGGGCUCAACCUGGGAAUGGCGAUGGAUACUGGCGAGCUAGAGUGUGUCAGAGGAUGGUGGGAUUCCCGGUGUAGCGGUGAAAUGCGUAGAGAUCGGGAGGAACAUCAGUGGCGAAGGCGGCCAUCUGGGACAACACUGACGCUGAAGCACGAAAGCGUGGGGAGCAAACAGG